AAGGAAAAAGAAAAAGGAACACUUCAUUACGAAAAAAAGACAAAGCACCUCCGCACGGUCAGCUUCUGUGAAGUGUGAACAAAUAUAGCAACUUGAGCCACACAAAAAGCAUGUCCACGUGAGUGGCUACUGUGAAUCCAUAUGGUUACAUAAACCACCUAUAAUUACAAUGAGAAAUGUAUACUGAAUUACGGCGAGACAUCUGGUGCAAAAGCACAACUCAAUGCAUAAUGUGAACUUCCGAUUCAGGCAUUAUUUUCUCUGCCAUCCUGGCGCCUGUCAUUUAUGACUGUAUGGCCCUAUAAUUUUGAACUUUCAGACUCAACUUAUGUUUCUCAUUUAUUGCCUGUUAUUGUGGAGUGAUUAGAACUUGAUUUUUUUAAACUGUAAGUAGAUAGAAUCGUUUGAAACAUCAGCAACAGAAAAUAAGAAUUAUUUAGGUUAACUAACAAAAUAUUCUGUACUGGUAAACCAGGUUGUGUUUUUUCAUUACACAUUGUACAACUGGUGCCAUGUAUAUACUGAGAAAAUGCUUAGCUUUACUCGGCAAAAACCAUAUAAUCACAACAGGUCAUCAAAUUACAACUUUAGAGAGUGAAAUACACCUACAACCAUUAAACUAGUGGUACAAUUUGGUCCCUUGGAAAAUGCUCACCUGGGUCAACAAACUUAUUUAUGCGCUGCGCUGCACAUACGGUCCUACUUCCUCCAUAUCUUCGUAUAUUAGUUUUAUCUAAAGUCAAAACUUCAUAAAGUUUGACCAAUUUUAUGUUUAAAAAUAUCAACAUAAGUUUUUUGAGAAAGUGGGAGUAAAAAAAGAGGGCUCUGUAUCCCCCGCUGACAUGGCAUGUAUCUGACAGCCUGGUCCACUAAAACUAGAUGGCGGGGGUGGGGGGGGGGGGGGGUAUGUGGAGAUCAAAAUAUGCACCAAACCCCUCCAUCUUCACCAUCAGUAUCACUAAGUUCUGGUCCACCCGAAAAGACCUAUCUGUCUCCACCAAACUUAAAGCCUCUCCCACGAAACACUUGCCAAUUUGUCACCUAUGUGUGCUCGUGCUUUCUGUUGCAGGUAUAAUUUGGCUACCAAGUUUAUUUGAUCUGCCAGAUUAGUGUAUAUGCUAAUGUUCAGUGCAGAGACACCAAGUCAGGCAAAGCAAGUUAUUUCCUUGGGGCAAAAGUAGAAGGGAAGACAUCUGGAUGGAGGGUGGCGCAAGUGAACAAGGCAACUAGUAUAAAACUUCUAUUAUCUGGUAUGAUUAGUGUCCUGGACAGAAUAUUUUAUUAUUUCCAUUAUAGGCCAAUGAAGCCCUGUACGAGAUAUGGCAGGGGAACAUGGCUAGCAGGCAGGUUUUUUCUGUAUACAUGGCAACCAACUUAAAGUGGCCAAAACCUGUUCGGUUUGGACCUGGAGUCCUGCUCCCAAACGCAAAGUCCUGCGUGCCUUAUAUAUAGGCCUUGGCCGAUUGGAAAAAGGGCAAUCAAUCGAUCCUUUCACAACCUUACGUUACUUUUUCUCCUACGUUCUUUUCUUUCCAGCACCUAGCUCGUAGCUUCUGCCUAGCCCUAGCAACCCUAGGGUUUGGCUGAUCUUUGCCGUUUUGCAUUGAAAAACGGUCGGUUUACCUCCACGAAAGCGAGGAUUCUGUGGUGCUGUAUGGAUCAAUUUCGCACAGCAACACUUUCGCCUCCGCAUCCGAGGCUCCGAGCAAACACCGCAUCGUCCAUAGUUUGCAAGCGCACACACGUGAAGACUGUUGCCUCAUGCUGUCAGGUACGCUGAUGUUAAAUCCUAGCAUCAAUUCCAAUUUUUAAAUUUGAUCAUUUAACUACAAUAUGGAGAUGAUCACUAUUUCCCAUGUUGCUGAGUAUUCACGGGUCGCAACUGUGGCAUGGGUCUUCUUCAAUGCUUUGAUUUCAGCAUUUUGUUUUAGCACCUGCUGAUGGCAGCAUCAAUCUCGAGGUUCCUUGCAUGGCAUCGUUGAAAGUGCAUAUAUCCCCCCUGUGGGUUUUGGUGAUUGAUGAAAAGACAUUCAAUUAAGUAUAUUUCAGGUUUAGUAUUUGGUAAGUGGAUUGUAGCCCAAGGCUCUUAGUUAGGUUGCAAUUUCCUAGGAUUUUGGUGGAUCGAAGAUUCCACAUUGAAUCCAAGGACAACUGUGCUAUCAAGAGGGUCAAAUGCAAAAGAUCUAGGGAUGAACACCUUAUAUAAUAACUACAGGCGCUCCCUAAGAUUUCAACUUCAAAUUCUUUAAUCCAUCUCAUUUUACUCUCUCCCAAUAGCUCCAGACCAGUCGGACGGUGGAGCCUAGCCAGGUGAGUUGUGAAAGUUCUGCUGAGCAAACUGGCGAUUUUCCAAGGUUCCAUCCAGAACAAAGCUUUUCUGUGUUUUAUAACUACCUCUGUUAGCUCCAGUACCUCCGAGCUAUUUCUUAUUUGGCACUCUUGAGCGGUUAUAGUUUGCUCCAGCCAGUUGUUCCAGUAUAGAUUUUGUGCUCCUGAGCUAUAGUGAGCUGGGAGUUAACCAUUUCUGCCAAGCUCAUUUCCAUAGGGUACUCUGCUAGUCCCUGUACCUCUAAGAAAUCUUUUGUCUCGCACCUCUGAAAUCAAAGAUGCUUCUGGACAGUCCGGUACCUCCAAGUACUUUGGACAAUUCCAGGGCUCUAGAUUUAAACACUGAACUUGUCCUGGUAUGUGUUUCUCCUAUUCAAACGAUCAGAUUUUCACCUUUUUUAUAAACUGACCCUCACAUACCUUGAGUGGGGGAGGAGGCUUUAUGGACGAAGUUGUGGAGACCCUCACAUACCCUCUUCUCUCUCGUUGAGAAAGCCCUUUGCUUUGCAUUUCACCUCUCGUACUCUCGUACUGUAAUGUAAACCUAUCUUUGAUUCUUGAGAGAUAGAUCCAUGGGUUCUUGAGCUUUGAUUGAAGAUCUUGUUGGGGAGUUCAUUCAAGUGGCCUUGCUUUGUGAAAGUGCAUCUCCAAGAUACCCUACUGGUUUUGGUGAUUUAUGGCAACCAUUUGAGAUCAGAGGACCAAUGAUUUCAAUGAGUAUUUCAGGGACUCAUUGGCUAUAAGGACUAAUUUUCUUAAACGAGUCCUUGCCUAUAAGUGGAAUAUCAAUGGUGACCCUACCUCAAGCUUGUGCCUUGUAGUAUGUACUUUCUAGGCUUUUGGUGAACCCAGUGAUUCACACUGAGUGUAGGACAACCAUACUAUGAAGAGGGGCACAAGCAAAGUACUUUGGUUCGAAAUCCAAGAACAGAUCCUAGACCAAAGUCUUCACCAAGUAGGUGAUCUGUUCUUGGAUUUUGGUAGGACUAUUCACCCCUCCCCUCCCCCUCUCCACCCCAUCUAGAACUUAUAGCAUCUCCAGCCGUUCGGCCCCCCAUGGGCUUGAAAUAGCGCCACUUGGGGGCCAACCAGCGAUAAAUUCGGCGUGGGGGGGCUCGGGUUCCCAGCCGACCCCCCAAGUUCCCCCCCCCCCCCCCAGCCGCCGAUUUCGGCCCAAAGUCAGCGCAAAUUAGGCCCAAAUUCGGCGUGCUUCGACACAAAUUCAACAAAAACUAAUUUUUAUCACAUAGUUCAUCACAGAAAUCAAUACAAAUAAAAUAGUUCAACGAAGCAAACUCAUAAUUCAAACA